UACCAGCACCCCGAGUGGUCGGGACGACUAUUGGGCCUAAAGCAUCCGUAGCCGGUACUGCAAGUCUUCCGUUAAAUCCACCUGCUCAACAGUUGGGCUGCGGAGGAUACUACAGCGCUAGGAGGCGGGAGAGGCAAGCGGUACUCAGUGGGUAGGGGUAAAAUCCAUUGAUCCAUUGAAGACCACCAGUGGCGAAGGCGGCUUGCCAGAACGCGCUCGACGGUGAGGGAUGAAAGCUGGGGGAGCAAACCGG
rnacentral:rRNA from 1 species